UCGGAAUUACUGGGCGUAAAGCGUGCGCAGGCGGUUUUGUAAGCCCGAUGUGAAAUCCCCGGGCUUAACCUGGGAAUGGCAUUUGGGACUGCAAGGCUCGAGUGCGGCAGAGGAGACUGGAAUUCCUGGUGUAGCAGUGAAAUGCGUAGAUAUCAGGAGGAACACCGAUGGCGAAGGCAGGUCUCUGGGCUGACACUGACGCUCAUGCACGAAAGCGUGGGGAGCAAACAGG
rnacentral:rRNA from 1 species